ACUGGUCACUAUAGAGAAGUAAAUUUACAUAGGAGCUGGAGGCUAUGGACAGGGGAUCUAGAACCGGUCGGAUAACGGAAUAGACAGGUGGACGCAUUAGAUGGGCAAUUUACUAUGUAGUUGAAUGAGUAAAUGGCUGGGACCAAAUGAUCUGGUCGCAAUAGAAGAGUGGUCUUUAUAUACAAGUGGUCGUUAAGACAAGUUUCACUGUAGCACUAAGAGAGCUUCUCUGUCACUUUCUUCAAGAAUAGAACGAUAUUUGCAGUACUAACAUAGAGAGAGAAGAAAAGUAAAACAUUAAAUUGAGGGCAGCAGGAGUUUGGAGUACUGAGGGUACAUCAGUAAUUAAUACCAAGAGUACAUAAUAUUAGGGAGAGUAUCCAACGGCCCUAUGCUGGCUGAUACAUCA